GCUUUUUCCCCUGUAAUUUUAGGAAAAUGUCCCUCAAGACAUGGAUGUUGUUCACUCCCAUGGACUAACGGAAGGGCAGAGUUUCAUCUCCAUUCUCUCCUUUGCACUGAAACACAACACUACUGGUGUAUUAACUGAAGAUCUGCUGACACUUCUAAAGUUACAUUCUGCUGGGACAAGUGCAGUUCCAACAAGCAAGUACUUUUUGGAAAAACCAUUAGCUGGUAUUGUAGAUACAUUUCAACGCCAUCACUACUGCAGAGUAUGUACUAAGUACCUUGGCACUUCUCAAUCAGAAGAAGGGACCUUAACAUGUGUGUCAUGUUUGUCAUCCAUCACAGCAAAAGACAGUUUACACGGAGGACAUUUCUUUAUCAGUAUUCCGUUAAAGGAUCAACUUAAAGAUAUUCUUGAAAAUCAGGAAAGAACUUCAGCAUAUUGCUCACCUGUGGAACACCCACAUCAUUCAGAGAAGCAGAAAUGCAGUUGCACCCAGUGGCCGGCCUCACAUGAUGUACAUGCUUCCUCAGCUUUUUGGGGAAAGGACCAUCUCAAACAUGCAUCUGUGCAAGCAGUACAAACAUGCAGAGCACAAUGCAUACAACGAGGACCUUACCCAUGUGAUGAGACUGCCAUCCACUGGAAGGAUAAGUCCCUAGUCUUAGGGUCACAGACAGUGGUCACUAGGGUUGGGCAUCGUUUGGAUUUUACUGAUGCCCGCCCCCCAAGCAAAGGCCACAGCCCCCCACCAGCAUCCCGGGCUGACAGGAGACUCCCACGCCCAACCCAACGGGAGAGCAGGCGAAGGCGGAGGAGGAGGGGAGGACGAGACAGGGGGACAGAGAGCAAGAGGAAAGAGUGGCAGAGAAACAUGCAGGCCCCCAGCCCCAAGGGCCACCCAGACGUGCACGGAGGAGGCAGGAGAGUAACACCAAACCACCCAGGGACCACGAGAGCACCUGAAAGAUGUGAUUGAUCCACUGAAGCAGAGGAUGAAUGCUGUAACCAUCACUGCUGUGUUACACAUGGACCAAAGUUUCCUCUCAGCCUGUUGUUAAUAGAAAUGAAACACUUUCUCAUCUGCUUUGCUUCAGUUCAUUUAGGGCCAACAUUGUUGAAUUGAUUGAUCACCACAUUUGACACAACACAGAUAUACAGUAUGUAUGAAUAACGUGCUUCAAGUAGAGAAAAUAAGACAUGAAAGCAUUAGAAAAUGAGUGUUUUUCUUCUUUUUUAAUGUAAUAUCUUUAUGUAGGUCAAACAGUCAAACAUUGUUUUGUGUUGUACAUGUGAGUGACAUAUAUAACAUUCUGUCAACUGGAC
rnacentral:lncRNA from 1 species